GCGCCGCUGGUGUACUGGUAACAUCUCAGAUUCCCAUUCUGAGGCUCCGGGUUCGAUUCCCGGGUGGCGCA